UGGCUCAGUGGUAGAGUGCUUGCCUUGCAUGCUUGAGGCCCUGGGUUCGAUUCCCCAG
rnacentral:tRNA from 1 species